rnacentral:ncRNA from 1 species
UAGGCGGGUUCCGAAAAGCCGAGAAAAGAGUAGGAA